UACGUAGGGGGCAAGCGUUGUCCGGAAUCAUUGGGCGUAAAGAGCGUGUAGGCGGCCCGGUAAGUCCGCUGUGAAAGUCGGGGGCUCAACCCUCGAAUGCCGGUGGAUACUGUCGGGCUAGAGUGCGGGAGAGGCGAGUGGAAUUCCUGGUGUAGCGGUGAAAUGCGCAGAUAUCAGGAGGAACACCAAUUGCGAAGGCAGCUCGCUGGAACGUUACUGACGCUAAGACGCGAAAGCGUGGGGAGCAAACAGG
rnacentral:rRNA from 1 species